AGAUCAGGGAGCAGGGGCGGCUCUGGACACCUGACCUGGAUGAGGACCAGUGUCUGGCCUCCUUUGAUUUCUGCUGCUGACUUAUAGAUGCAGACUUCCAGCCAACUCUGGCUCCAGUGUUUUACUUCAUCAUUUCUCAUGAAUCUAAAACAUUCACUGAGCUCCUACUAUGCACCAGGCACUGUUCUUGGCACUUGUCAGAAGGAGCAGGGAAAUUCGUCAAAAUGAAAAAUGAAAAUCAAACCAAACUGGCACUCAAGAAGGUUAUAACUCAAUGAUAUUUUAAAUGGCUCUUUGCCAUAGUACUUGGUGGUCUCCUAACAGGGAUUUGACAUUCUGUUGAACAUGUAUAGUCCUUAUUCAUACAGUCUGUGCCAUUUCACAUCUCCAGUUCCAUUUGAAGCACUAGCUUCGAGGCAAGGACUACUUUAUGCCCAUUCAUCAUUGUAUGUAUUCACUCCUUCUGCUCACUCUGCUUUCAUAUUCCUCUCAUCCAAGUUCUUAGUGCUAAAAAAAUACCCAGGCGCUGUACCCAUAGAAAACAAUUGCAAACACUCAAAUAAAUUAGGAGAAGAUUUUCCCAACCCUGACAGCCAGGUAGUUCAUAACCAUUUACUUAUUGAUCUAACAAAUAUUUAUUGAGUGCCAACUAUAUGCUAGAUACAAUGCUAGCAUUUAUUGUACUAGAUCCUGGGAAACUGAUUAUACAUAAGAGAGGGAAUAUUCAUGGUUUCGUAGAGUUUAGAUUCCAUUGGGACAAGAUAAUAAUCAAGAAACAUGCAGCUUCUAGUACUGCCAAGUGACAUUGAGAACAUAACACAGGUUAAUCAUGAUGGACAGUGGUAAGAACAAGGACCAACAUUCAUAAAUUCUCAUGUAAGGACUCCAAAAGGUGACAUUUUAUUUGGGACCUGAAAAAUCAAAAGAAUAACGUUAGUAAAGUACCUGGGGGAGAUUCCAGAUAGAGCAAGUGAGAAAGCCUUGAUGUGAGAACAAGUAUGGUAUAUUGCUUGUAUGCAGGAAAAAGAAGAAGGCACGUGUACAGUGAGCAAGAUGGGGAGUGUGUGAGAUGAGGACAGAGCAUAGGCAGAGCUUUGCAGUCAGGAUGAGGAGUUUGGAAUUUAUUCUGGGUAUAACUGGAAACCAUCGGAGGGCUUUGAUCAAGGGCGUGAGCUGAGCUCCUCCAUAGACAUUUUAAGGGACUGCUGUGUAAAGAAUGAAUAAAGGGGAAUUCUAGAAGUAGAAUCAGAGAAACUGGUUAGUAGCAGCAACAGCAGUCCAAGUGAGGGAGAGCAUAUGGCUUGGUCUAGGGUGAUUUCAGUAAACAGAAAGGUGGGCACGCUUGUGUUGUACAUUUGGAAGUAGAACCAAUAGAAACAGAUGAUGAUUACACAUGGGGUGCGGGGAAUAGUAAAGAAUUAAAAAUGACUUCUAAAUUGUUAGUUUGAGCAACUGGAUCGAUGGUGGUACCAUUUAUUGCAAUGUAGAAGACACAGGAGGGAACAGCUUUGGUGGUGGUAUGAGGUAGAAAUUAGGAGCUCUAUUUUGAAAAUGUUAAGUUUGAAGACCUAUGAGAGACUCAAGUUUAUAGUGUAUGUCAAGUAGGCAAUUAUAUUUACUAAUGUGGAAUACAGGGGGCAAGUCAGAGCUGGGAUGCAAUGUCAAGUUAUGAAGGAAGAUGAUAUUAAUUACUAGAUUUACACUGCACUCCUUAAGUAUAAUCAAAAUUGCUCUUGAAAUUCUCUCUGGAAGAUGCCUUGCUUGAGACUGACAUACCACCUUUUACUAAGUCCAGCACAGCUGGAGUUUUCUCCUAUGCUGGAGAAUUUACUGUUUUUAGCUAAAAUUAUACCUCUAUCCACCUUGUGGCUCAAACAACCAAUCUAAGAAUAGUUGUCUCUAUAAGAUGUUUACAGAAAUGUUCAGAUUGAAGGAAUGGAAGUUUUUAUUUCCUAUUCCAUUUAUUUUGGGCAUAAACAAGCAAGUGUGGUAGCCAGCCUCCAAUAUGGCCCCAAUGAUCCCCACUUCCAGGUGUUCACACCAUUGUGUAGUCCCUUCCUACACUGUACCAGGGUUGGUCUGUGUGACCAAAUAGAAUAGGGUAGAACUGACGGCAUAUCACUCCCAAGAUGAGGUUAUAAAAGACACCAGCUUCCAUACAGAGCUCUCUCUCAGAUAACCAACCUUGUCAACCAACCUUGGAUCUCAUCUUGCUCCAGGAGCAGCCAUCUGGCUUCUUUUGAGGACACUCAGGUGGCGGCCCUGUGGACAGACCCAAGUGAAGAGGAACUGAGACUUCCAGCCAAAGACCAAUGAGAAAUUGAGGAUUUCAACCAAUAACCAUUUGCAUGAGCCUACCUGGAAGUCACUCCUCCAGCCCUUUCAAGGCUUUAUAUGAUGCAGACCUGGCCAACAGCCUGACAGCAACCUCAUGAGCCAGAAGGACCCGCUAAGCCACUCCCAGGUUUCUGACCCUUAGAAGUUGUGUAAGAGAAAUGUCUGUUGUCUUAAACCAUGGAGUUUUGGAAUAAUUUGUUAUGAGCAAUGUGUAACUGCUACAGCAAGGGAGUGUGCCUGUCUAUACAGGUUAUCUCUGGCUCUGUCUUCGACUUGGUUUCUCUCCAUCCCAUGGGCCACGUUUCCGCUUGUGUCACUGCUCCACUAUAACACUGCCUCCCUCCACAGCCAUCUUUUUAAAUCUGAGAAAAGGCAAACAUUUCACUUGGCUUCAGCUGAAGGACACGCACAGUCAGUUAGAUAGUAAAUCGCUGACCAUCUUCCCUCACCUGGCUCAAUGUCUUAGCUGCUUUUGUAUCAUGUUGAUAAAAGAGAGAGUGAUAAAUAAAUUCUCAAAUUAUCUUCACUUAUAA
ensembl:lncRNA